UAGCAGAGGUCCCGAGCGUUGUUCGGAUUCACUGGGCGUAAAGGGUGCGUAGGUGGUGAGGUAAGUCGGAAUGUGAAAUCUCCGGGCUCAACCCGGAAAUGGCAUUGGAAACUACCUUGCUGGAGGAUUUGAGGGGGGAUUGGAAGUACUUGGUGUAGCAGUGAAAUGCGUAGAUAUCAAGUGGAACACCAGUGGCGAAGGCGAAUCCCUGGAAAAUACCUGACACUGAGGCACGAAAGCUAGGGGAGCAAACAG
rnacentral:rRNA from 1 species